rnacentral:rRNA from 1 species
CCUACGGGAGGCAGCAGUGAGGAAUAUUGGUCAAUGGGCGCAAGCCUGAGCCAGCCAAGUAGCGUGAAGGAUGAAGGCUCUACGGGUUGUAAACUUCUUUUAUAAGGGAAUAAAGUGAGGCACGUGUGCCUUUUUGUAUGUACUUUAUGACUAAGGAUCGGCUAACUCCGUGCCAGCAGCCGCGGUAAUACGGAGGAUCCGAGCGUUAUCCGGAUUUAUUGGGUUUAAAGGGAGCGUAGAUGGGUUGUUAAGUCAGAUGUGAAAGUCUGCGGCUCAACCAUAUAAUUGCAAUUGAUACUGGCAGCCUUGAGUACAUUAGAGGUAGGCGGAAUUCGUGGUGUAGCGGUGAAAUGCUUAGAUAUCACGAAGAACUCCGAUUGCGAAGGCAGCCUACUAAACUGCCACUGACAUUGAUGCGCGAAAGUGUGGGGAUCAAACAGGAUUAGAUACCCCUGUAGUC